rnacentral:rRNA from 1 species
GACAGAGGGUGCAAACGUUGUUCGGAAUUACUGGGCGUAAAGCGUGUGUAGGCGGUCUCAAAAGUCGGAUGUGAAAGCCCCGGGCUCAACCCGGGAAGUGCACUCGAAACUGCGAGGCUAGAGUAUCGGAGAGGUUGGUGGAAUUCUCGGUGUAGAGGUGAAAUUCGUAGAUAUCGAGAGGAACACCGGUGGCGAAGGCGGCCAACUGGACGAAUACUGACGCUGAGACACGAAAGCGUGGGGAGCAAACAGG